rnacentral:misc_RNA from 1 species
GAUGAAGAACGUAGCGAAAUGCGAUAAGUAAUGUGAAUUGCAGAAUUCAGUGAAUCAUCGAAUCUUUGAACGCAUCUUGCGCUCCUUGGUAUUCUGAGGAGCAUGCCUGUUUGAGUGUCAUUAAAUUCUCAACUACACUGACUUUGAAUUGGUGUGGCUUGGAUUUGGGGGGAAAAUUGUUGUGGGCUUUUUGUAUAGUCUGCUCCCCUGAAAUUGAUUAGCGGUACCUUUGUGGAACUGUCUACAGGUGUGAUAAUUAUCUACAUCUUAGACAUCUGCUGGAAUGCUGCUUUCUAAACCUUACUUGUAUUGACAAUCUUGACCUCAAAUCGGGUAGGACUACCCGCUGAACUUAAGCAUAUCAAUAAGCGGAGGA